rnacentral:rRNA from 1 species
AGAGUUGACAUGGCUCAGAAAGUCGUAGCAAGGUGAACCGUAGACGUUAACGGCGGACGGGUGAGUAACACGUGGGUAACCUACCUAUAAGACUGGGAUAACUUCGGGAAACCGGAGCUAAUACCGGAUAAUAUUUCGAACCGCAUGGUUCGAUAGUGAAAGAUGGUUUUGCUAUCACUUAUAGAUGGACCCGCGCCGUAUUAGCUAGUUGGUAAGGUAACGGCUUACCAAGGCGACGAUACGUAGCCGACCUGAGAGGGUGAUCGGCCACACUGGAACUGAGACACGGUCCAGACUCCUACGGGAGGCAGCAGUAGGGAAUCUUCCGCAAUGGGCGAAAGCCUGACGGAGCAACGCCGCGUGAGUGAUGAAGGUCUUCGGAUCGUAAAACUCUGUUAUUAGGGAAGAACAUACGUGUAAGUAACUAUGCACGUCUUGACGGUACCUAUGUCGGAAAGCCGCU